AAACUUUACACCGUCGUGCAUAGAAAUUAAACUCUUAAAUCAUUCCCAUUAAAUAUUAUUAAUAAGAGUUUAAUGGAUAUGCACUGACAGUAUAAAAUAGUUU
rnacentral:pre_miRNA from 1 species